UUGAAAUAAUUUCAAAAAAGAAAACUGUAACAGAAGAUGGGAUAAGACCUAUUUUACAGAAGAAGCAGGCACAGAGAGGAAGUGUUUGGAGACCUGUGCUCUCGUGACGAACAAGCAAGGACGUGAACGAUACUCUGGGAGCCAAAGCCACACAUUUCCGGUCCCUGUAACUGCAGCCCAGCCACGUGCCACCCUUGGGAGAGACACAGUUCUGUGUCACAGGAAGGACUAAGGUGACCGUCACCGCGCACUAAC
rnacentral:lncRNA from 1 species